UGUUUAACUGCAUCCAAUUUACUUUUGGGCAAUUUGGUUGUAAGAAACCCAUAAUUCUGAUAUUAAAAACUUUGAAAAUGGGUCAAAUUUAACCCAAGAACAACACAAGGGUUAAAGU